rnacentral:rRNA from 1 species
GACGAAAAAUGAAUACCAAGUCUCAAGAGUGAACACGUAAUUCAUUACGAAGUUUAAUUCAUUGAGCAUCAAACUUUUAAAUUGAAGAGUUUGAUCAUGGCUCAGAUUGAACGCUGGCGGCAGGCCUAACACAUGCAAGUCGAACGGUAACAGGAAGCAGCUUGCUGCUUUGCUGACGAGUGGCGGACGGGUGAGUAAUGUCUGGGAAACUGCCUGAUGGAGGGGGAUAACUACUGGAAACGGUGGCUAAUACCGCAUAACGUCGCAAGACCAAAGAGGGGGACCUUCGGGCCUCUUGCCAUCAGAUGUGCCCAGAUGGGAUUAGCUUGUUGGUGAGGUAACGGCUCACCAAGGCGACGAUCCCUAGCUGGUCUGAGAGGAUGACCAGCCACACUGGAACUGAGACACGGUCCAGACUCCUACGGGAGGCAGCAGUGGGGAAUAUUGCACAAUGGGCGCAAGCCUGAUGCAGCCAUGCCGCGUGUAUGAAGAAGGCCUUCGGGUUGUAAAGUACUUUCAGCGGGGAGGAAGGUGUUGUGGUUAAUAACCGCAGCAAUUGACGUUACCCGCAGAAGAAGCACCGGCUAACUCCGUGCCAGCAGCCGCGGUAAUACGGAGGGUGCAAGCGUUAAUCGGAAUUACUGGGCGUAAAGCGCACGCAGGCGGUCUGUCAAGUCGGAUGUGAAAUCCCCGGGCUCAACCUGGGAACUGCAUUCGAAACUGGCAGGCUUGAGUCUUGUAGAGGGGGGUAGAAUUCCAGGUGUAGCGGUGAAAUGCGUAGAGAUCUGGAGGAAUACCGGUGGCGAAGGCGGCCCCCUGGACAAAGACUGACGCUCAGGUGCGAAAGCGUGGGGAGCAAACAGGAUUAGAUACCCUGGUAGUCCACGCCGUAAACGAUGUCUACUUGGAGGUUGUGCCCUUGAGGCGUGGCUUCCGGAGCUAACGCGUUAAGUAGACCGCCUGGGGAGUACGGCCGCAAGGUUAAAACUCAAAUGAAUUGACGGGGGCCCGCACAAGCGGUGGAGCAUGUGGUUUAAUUCGAUGCAACGCGAAGAACCUUACCUGGUCUUGACAUCCACGGAAGUUUUCAGAGAUGAGAAUGUGCCUUCGGGAACCGUGAGACAGGUGCUGCAUGGCUGUCGUCAGCUCGUGUUGUGAAAUGUUGGGUUAAGUCCCGCAACGAGCGCAACCCUUAUCCUUUGUUGCCAGCGGUCCGGCCGGGAACUCAAAGGAGACUGCCAGUGAUAAACUGGAGGAAGGUGGGGAUGACGUCAAGUCAUCAUGGCCCUUACGACCAGGGCUACACACGUGCUACAAUGGCGCAUACAAAGAGAAGCGACCUCGCGAGAGCAAGCGGACCUCAUAAAGUGCGUCGUAGUCCGGAUUGGAGUCUGCAACUCGACUCCAUGAAGUCGGAAUCGCUAGUAAUCGUGGAUCAGAAUGCCACGGUGAAUACGUUCCCGGGCCUUGUACACACCGCCCGUCACACCAUGGGAGUGGGUUGCAAAAGAAGUAGGUAGCUUAACCUUCGGGAGGGCGCUUACCACUUUGUGAUUCAUGACUGGGGUGAAGUCGUAACAAGGUAACCGUAGGGGAACCUGCGGUUGGAUCACCUCCUUACCUUAAAGAAGCGUACUUUGCAGUGCUCACACAGAUUGUCUGAUGAAAA